rnacentral:rRNA from 1 species
UUGACCUCGGAUCAGGUAGGAAUACCCGCUGAACUUAAGCAUAUCAAUAAGCGGAGGAAAAGAAACCAACAGGGAUUGCCUCAGUAACGGCGAGUGAAGCGGCAACAGCUCAAAUUUGAAAUCUGGCCUCGGCCCGAGUUGUAAUUUGCAGAGGAUGCUUUUGGCGAGGCGCCUUCCGAGUUCCCUGGAACGGGACGCCAGAGAGGGUGAGAGCCCCGUAUGGUUGGAUGCCGAGCCUCUGUAAAGCUCCUUCGACGAGUCGAGUAGUUUGGGAAUGCUGCUCAAAAUGGGAGGUAAAUUUCUUCUAAAGCUAAAUACAGGCCAAAGACCGAUAGCGCACAAGUAGAGUGAUCGAAAGAUGAAAAGCACUUUGAAAAGAGGGUUAAACAGUACGUGAAAUUGUUGAAAGGGAAGCGCUUAUGACCAGACUUGUGCCCUGUGGAUAAGCCAGCGUUCUCGCUGGUGUUUCUGCUCGGCUCAGGCCAGCAUCGGUUCUCUCGGGGGGACAAAAGCUCUGGGAACGUAGCUCCUCCGGGAGUGUUAUAGCCCGCUGCACAAUAUCCCCGGGGGGACCGAGGACCGCGCUUCGGCAAGGAUGCUGGCGUAAUGGUCAUCAGCGACCCGUCUUGAAACACGGACCAAGGAGUCAAGCAUUAGGGCGAGUGUUUGGGUGUAAAACCCGCACGCGUAAUGAAAGUGAAUGCAGGUGAGAGCUUCGGCGCAUCAUCGACCGAUCCUGAUGUAUUCGGAUGGAUUUGAGUAAGAGCCUUACCGCUUGGACCCGAAAGUUGAUGAACUAUGCCUGUAUAGGGUGAAGCCAGAGGAAACUCUGGUGGAGGCUCGCAGCGGUUCUGACGUGCAAAUCGAUCGUCAAAUAUGGGCAUGGGGGCGAAAGACUAAUCGAAUCAACUAGUAGCUGGUUACCGCCGAAGUUUCCCUCAGGAUAGCAGUGUUGUUUUCAGUUUUAUGAGGUAAAGCGAAUGAUUAGGGACUCGGGGGCGCUAUUUAGCCUUCAUCCAUUCUCAAACUUUAAAUAUGUAAGAAGCCCUUGUUACUUUACUGAACGUGGGCCUUCGAAUGUAUCAACACUAGUGGGCCAUUUUUGGUAAGCAGAACUGGCGAUGCGGGAUGAACCGAACGCGGGGUUAAGGUGCCGGAGUGGACGCUCAUCAGACACCACAAAAGGCGUUAGUACAUCCUGACAGCAGGACGGUGGCCAUGGAAGUCGGAACCCGCUAAGGACUGUGUAACAACUCACCUGCCGAAUGUACUAGCCCUGAAAAUGGAUGGCGCUCAAGCGUCCCACCCAUACCCCGCCAUUAGGGUAGAAACGAUGCCCUAAUGAGUAGGCGGCCGUGACGGCCAGUGACGAAGCCCAGGGCGUGAGCCCGGGUAGAACGACCGUCAGUGCAGAUCUUGGUGGUAGUAGCAAAUACUUCAAUGAGAACUUGAAGGACCGAAGUGGGGAAAGGUUCCAUGUGAACAGCGGUUGGACAUGGGUUAGUCGAUCCUAAGCCAUAGGGAAGUUCCGUUUCAAAGGGGCACUUGUGCCCCGUAUGGCGAAAGGGAAGCAGGUUAAUAUUCCUGCACCUGGAUGUGGGUUUUGCGCGGCAACGCAACUGAACGCGGAGACGGCGGCGGGGGCCCCGGGCAGAGUUCUCUUUUCUUCUUAACGGCCUAUCACCCUGAAAACAGUUUGUCUGGAGAUAGGGUUUAACGGCCGGAAGAGCCCAGCACCUCUGUUGGGUCCGGUGCGCUCCCGACGUCCCUUGAAAAUCCGCGGGAAGGAAUAAUUCUCGCGCCAGGUCGUACUCAUAACCGCAGCAGG